GUAGACCCGAAACCGGGUGAUCUAGCCAUGCCCAGGGUGAAGGUGCGGUAACACGCACUGGAGGCCCGAACCCACUCCUGUUGCAAAAGUAGGGGAUGAGGUGUGGCUAGGAGUGAAAAGCUAAUCGAACCCGGAGAUAGCUGGUUCUCCUCGAAAGCUAUUUAGGUAGCGCCUCAGGUAUCACUGUUGGGGGUAGAGCACUGUUAUGGCUAGCGGGUCAUCGCGACUUAGCAAACCAUGGCAAACUCCGAAUACCAACACGUGCAAGCCUGGGAGACACACGGCGGGUGCGAACGUCCGUCGUGAAAAGGGAAACAACCCAGACCCGCAGCUAAGGUCCCAAAGUCAUAGCUAAGUGGAAAACGAUGUGGGAAGGCAUAGACAGCCAGGAGGUUGGCUUAGAAGCAGCCAUCCUUUAAAGAAAGCGUAAUAGCUCACUGGUCGAGUCGGCCCGCGCGGAAGAUUUAACGGGGCUAAGCUAUGCACCGAAGCUCGGGGUUCACACGCAAGUGUGAGCGGUAGAGGAGCGUUCCGUACGCCUGUGAAGGUGGAUCGUAAGGUCUGCUGGAGGUAUCGGAAGUGCGAAUGCUGACAUGAGUAACGAUAAAGGGGGUGAAAAGCCCCCUCGCCGAAAGCCCAAGGUUUCCUCGCGCAACGUUCAUCGGCGCAGGGUUAGUCGGUCCCUAAGGCGAGGCGGAAACGCGUAGUCGAUGGGAAUCUGGUUAAUAUUCCAGAACCGCUCGUGAUUGCGAUGGAGUGACGGAGAAGGUUAGGUGUACCGGGCGUUGGUUGUCCCGGGGAAAGGCGGUAGGU
rnacentral:rRNA from 1 species